UUAAGAGCCCAGAUUUGCAUCUCACACCCACUACUUACGCGCCAGGCACCUCUUUGGACGCCACUCCACAGCCUCCUGUGUUAAGAGGCACACAAGAGCUGCCUGAUUGGCUCCCAAGCUGAGAACCAGGAGCCGGAGGAAAUCGUAGCGAAAUCUCAACCCGAUGUAGCCCCAUCAGCAUCACACACACACUCAGAGCAAAAUGGCCUGCUCUUCAAUGUAGCUUAGUUUAGUUCAAUUGUCCUGCCCACCCCCUCCUGGCCCUCCUGCCGCUGAGGGGUGGUAUUUGAAAGCACAGUUCUUUCCUCUCUUCUCCUUGGGACAGCAACAGCACAGAGAGUGGGCCGCCAUCUCUUACUGCCCACUCAACCAUUGCUGGGGACUGAUUCUUUCAGCUCUACAUAGAAUUCAAGAACUAUAUUUGGAUCUGCUUCAGAGCAGUAAUCCCCACAGCCUUAAAACAUGCAAAAUAAAAACAAAUUAAU
rnacentral:lncRNA from 1 species